rnacentral:lncRNA from 10 species
GUUUGCUAGUGGCGACCCAAUAAAUACCGGAUCUCCAAAAGCGCUGACAAUUUGCAGACCGGGCCUGGGAGUUAUAGAAAUCACUUCCGAAAUUGGUGGGAGGAAAAAGCGAGGUAUGGAGACACGGGGGCGUAUCCCUCUUCCAGAAUUCACGUUCCUUCCUUUGAUGUCUCAAUACAGAUGAGUCUCUCAAGGAAGGACCCAAGAGAUACUCUCUCCCUACCUCCAUGAGGAAAAUGGAACCCAGGGAGAGCAGCAAGCUGAUAGCAGAAUCAGGAUCACAAUGCAGAUUGCAUUGCUUUGCUUGUGAGGAGACCCCUUCAAGACUGCUGAAAAGAAGCCAUCACAUGCCCUUGGCCAGAAGCCUGGCAUAGUGAAAUUCCGAGAGAUAUCAUACAUCAUGCAACCUCAGAAAAGCUCCACUUACAGGAGAGAAUGAGUCUGAAAAAGAACCAUAACAUGCUGGUAUUGCGGUGAAAAUAGUUUUGACCUCGUGAGCUCACUAAAAGUGUUUCAAGGAUACUUGAGGGUCUCUGGACCACAUUUUGAGAACCACUGGCUAAGUUAAAAUAAUAAAGCAAAAUUCAUUUAUGUAUCCAAACAUUAUAUUUCCAUAUGAGUGCUUUCAUUUAGUCCUCCCAACGAACCAAGGAGGUGAUAUGUUAUAUCCAAUUAC